UACAGGGGGUGCAAACGUUGCUCGGAAUCAUUGGGCGUAAAGCGCACGUAGGCGGCUUUUUAAGUCAGGGGUGAAAUCCCGGGGCUCAACCCCGGAACUGCCCUUGAAACUGGAGAGCUAGAAUCUUGGAGAGGCGAGUGGAAUUCCGAGUGUAGAGGUGAAAUUCGUAGAUAUUCGGAAGAACACCAGUGGCGAAGGCGACUCGCUGGACAAGUAUUGACGCUGAGGUGCGAAAGCGUGGGGAGCGAACAGG
rnacentral:rRNA from 1 species